rnacentral:rRNA from 1 species
UACGUAGGGACCAAGCGUUGUUCGGAUUUACUGGGCGUAAAGGGCGCGUAGGCGGCAAUUCAAGUCAUCUGUGAAAAUCUCCGGGCUUAACUCGGAAUGGUCAGGUGAUACUGCUUUGCUAGAGUGCAGAAGGGGCAAUCGGAAUUCUUGGUGUAGCGGUGAAAUGCGUAGAUAAUCAAGAGGAACACCGAUGGCGAAAGGCAG